AUGAUCUCAGUUUAUUGAACAAUGUCAUGUCUCCAAUGUAGGUCAUGAUCUCAGUUUAUUGAACAAUGUCAUGUCUCCAAUGUAGGUCAUGAUCUCAGUUUAUUGAAUAAUGUCAUGUCUUCAAUGUAGGUUAUGAUCUCUGUUUAUUGA